rnacentral:rRNA from 1 species
CCUACGUGGGGCAGCAGUAGGGAAUCUUCCACAAUGGGCGAAAGCCUGAUGGAGCAACGCCGCGUGGGUGAAGAAGGUCUUCGGAUCGUAAAACCCUGUUGUUAGAGAAGAAAGUGCGUGAGAGUAACUGUUCACGUUUCGACGGUAUCUAACCAGAAAGCCACGGCUAACUACGUGCCAGCAGCCGCGGUAAUACGUAGGUGGCAAGCGUUAUCCGGAUUUAUUGGGCGUAAAGGGAACGCAGGCGGUCUUGUAAGUCUGAUGUGAAAGCCUUCGGCUUAACCGGAGUAGUGCAUUGGAAACUGGGAGACGUGGGUGCAGAAGAGGAGAGUGGAACUCCAUGUGUAGCGGUGAAAUGCGUAGAUAUAUGGAAGAACACCAGUGGCGAAAGCGGCUCUCUGGUCUGUAACUGACGCUGAGGUUCGAAAGCGUGGGUAGCAAACAGGAUUAGAUACCCGGGUAGUC